AUCGCAAGUUGUGUUAGUCUGGA
rnacentral:siRNA from 1 species